CUGCUUUAAUUUUCAGAAGUAACUGAUGCAAAACUUCACAACUUUAUUAUAAACAGGAAAAAAAAACAUACCCAAGGAACCCUACAUCCCACCGCAGAGAUAUAUGCACGCUCGUGUUCAUAAAGGCACUAUUCACAAUAGCUAAGAAAUGGAACCAACCUAGAUAUCUGCCAACAGAUGUGGAGAUAAAGAAAAUGUGGGAUAUACGUGCAAUGGAAUUCCAUCGUGAAGAACUACACAACCACUUUAUUGCAAUUGUGGCUUUCUUCAUACUAACCUGUUUUUCUUAAAAGAAGGACUCAGACUUGAAUUGUCACAACUCCCUGUGAAUGAAAGAUGUCCUUGGACAAACCGCAUUAACGGAUGUUUUGUGCCUCUGCCCUUGAAAACAACAAUUAGCCUCACCCAGCUCUUAUCAUCAGCAACAGACCCUUCUCUACCCUCAUCUGCACCAGAAACACCACUGUCUCAAGAGAGACCUCCUUGGGGUGUUGGCGAACAAAAGUGCCUGUCACAUCUGGUCACUCUCCCCUGACAUGGCCUGCCCUUGGGAAACAUGAAUGAACUGUGAACACUUGAGCCUCUUGAAGUCUAGAAAGACGGCCACUGCUCUCUUGAAACGGUUGUGCAAUCCCAUGCUGCUAUCAGGGCUGACAAGGAGGCCACUCCUAGCCUUGGACCCUUCAGCUAGGUUCAACUCCAGGUCAAGUCAGGGGCCCCCAGCAGCUUAGGGGCACAGGAUCCACAGGAAGAAAUUCCAGGACUUUGCCAGAAGCUAACAACAGUUCCCAGCUGUUCCCAGCCGCCUCCUGCCAUUCAUGCCUUUUAGAGUGGGGGUCUUUGCACAAAUUUCAUCAGAAGGAGGGUCAGAUGGACGCUUUUGCCUCUGGGUCAGGGCACAGGACAGGCCAUGGAGAAACAACAGCCUCUUUGUUGCUGUCAGCUCCUGCACAGACCCUUGACAGAGACCUCCCUCUUCCUGGAUCUCUUGGGGACCAUGACACCAGUUGUACUGCUAUGGCUAGCCUUAUGUAGUGACUUUAAGCCUCUCCUGCAAGCUCAAGGAGGGCCGAUAGCCUUGCUCUGCAGUUCCUCUGGGACACAUGCUACAGAACUCUCUUAUCAACGCAGUUCUUGAUCAGGGCACUGUUGAGUGGUAGCAAAGCAAUGUUCACCUUAGAAUAAACGUUGCUUGCCGUG
rnacentral:lncRNA from 1 species